rnacentral:piRNA from 1 species
UAGGCCCAGAAACUCCAUGGAAUACAUCGA